rnacentral:lncRNA from 1 species
AUCAGAGGAUCCCAAUGAUGCCAUGUCUAGUCCACUAAUAAUUUUAAAUGUCUUAAAAUUGUCCUAAUUAUUUGACUAUAAGCAGAAUACUUCUCAUCACUUACCCAGCCAGCAACACUGCAUUAUGGGAGAGGUGCCUAUAGCUGUAAGGCUUCCUACAGGGUGAGGAGCUAGAAGUUCAGCAUGUCCCCAGAUUUACCCUACCCGCCAAGCGUUCACAGUAAAACAGUCCUGACGUUGACGUCUCAAAGACCCAACAGCUGAAAGCACCUUAACACGGUAUUAACACUGCAACAUGCUUCAUAAACUGUUACCAGCUGGAAGAGGGGGCGAGCGAGGGGAGGCAUGAGAGAAAGAGACUGAGGAAAAGAAAAUAGGCAUUUCACAGCUGGAAGGGACGGAGAGACCACAGAAAAUUAAAGAAGAUGAAGUUAGUGGGGUUUUUCAUACAAUUGUUUUAUUUGGAGACAAAGCCUUAUACAGAACAAAGUUCAAGCCAUAUAUUGUAUGCAAACGACUGGAGCUAUUUUAUAUUUUCCCUUUCAUUGAAUCUCAAUUUGGAGUUGGACAAAGUUAUAAAGUGGUGCUCUUUUUCUUCUGUUGUCUCAAAAAAAUUUGAAACUUUUUUCUUUAGCAAUGUUCUCCCAAAUGUUUCAUGAAAAUGAAGAACAAGAAGGGGGCGGGGGAGGCAAGGAGGAAGGACUCCAGCAUUCAAAACCUGAAGCAGCUGAACUAAAACAGAUAAAGUAGUCUUAAUUCUAACCAUGACCUAAAUCAGUGUUUCUCAAUUACCUGCAGACCUUGCUAAAAUGCAACUUCUGAUUCAGUAGGUGUGGAAUGGGCCCCAAGAGUCUAUAUUUCUAAAAAGGUCUUCGGUGAUGCUGAUGCUGAUGCUGCUGGUCUGUGGACCACACUUUGAGUAGCAAUGAUGUAGAUUUCCCUGCAUAUUGACAGAAGUUCCUACUGGAUGGAUUCAUUCAAACAAAAGCUGUAAUUGGCCUGUUUUGCUCCAAGGCAUUUAAAGGAGACUUAAAACUUGCCUUAACUCUGUGACUUCUCAGUUAUUUCUCUUUUGCGUACUAUCCGUCAUACGCUUCACGUUUCCUGGCCGCAUUCCACGGGUGUCAUGGAGUAUUCAGUAACUGGUGUUUGAUUAAGGAAGAAGACAGUUUCAGACAGACUGAUCAGAACAUCAGGUAUCAGGCCCGCUAACAAGCCACCACUGGCCACACCUAAGAAAAGCUGGAUGCAAGGAAAGGUUGAUGAAAGAAAGCUGGUACGGAAAAGCUAAGACUACAUAAGAAACUUCUCUUAAACUCACUGAGGCCGCAGAAUCAGAAGAACUUCUCACCAACCCCACAUCACUCUGAGGACAUACUGUUUUCAUAAACGUGGACAGCAGCAGUCACAGGACACUGUCACACGUCUUUCUCCUUAUUAAAACCACAAUUUAAAAGACCAUCACAAACGGACAACUCAAAGUCUAGGUCUAAAGCUGUACCUACUUUUGAGUGAAUGAAUACAUUUUCAAACCAAAACUAUUUAAAAAUAUUAAUCCUAAAUAGAUACAUAUUGGGAGUUACUUUAUUUUUCUGAGUGAUGUAACGUUCUCCAAAAGGUAAUACAGAAUAUAGAAUAAAAGGUAUACUUAGAAUAAAAGCAUUCACUUUUUUAAACUCCCCUUCCCUUAAAAUGUAUCCCUUCUUAUUACUUCUUAAUCCACUUUUUCAAUGAACAACAACAAAAAAAUGUUGGGGGGGGCGGGACACAGAGUAAAAAGUGUCAUUUAACUUUAGUCUUACAGUGACAUCUAGUGGUAGUAAGUGGUAACACCAGCUAAUCUGUUCCAAUUAAGCAUAAAAAUAGAAAUUGCUGCAUUGAAAACGAGCAUCUCCCAUUUCUGUGUAAGCACACAAAGACCUUUCCUGACUCUCGUUUCUAUCACCCUGUGUGUUCUGUAGGGGACUUAAUUUUAUACUGUGUUUAGCCCUGAUUACUGGCUUGUCUCUCUUGUCUGCAUGAGACCACAAAAUACAAGAUCAGGCUCAUAUUUGCUCUAUUUGGGUUCUUUAUCCAAACCUUGUGUAUGUACAAUGUGGGUGACUCAACACAUGGACAAAUUUUUUAAAAACACACACUCAAAACAUCCCUAACAGCAGUCUCAUUUUGCUUUCUCCCUCUUCCUGAGCAGCUGGGCAAACCUAAGGACAGAUUCCCAAGACUGUCUCUCUCUACCGAGCCUUACCACCCUCAGUUUCACCAUAUUUCAGAAGUUAAUAGUGUGAAAACUUGCCAAAUAGACCGGAAUUUUAUUCUCAUGUCUUAAAUAUCAUCUAUGUGGCCAGAAAGCAUUGUUUAACCUCUAGAAGUUUGAACUUCUUCAUUGAUGAAAUGAGCAGUCCCUAUUUGGUAGGGUUUUGAAGAGAUUAAGUUAAAUGAUACAUGAAAAACACCAGAGAGUUUGGUCUGUAGAAAGUGUUUAAUGUGUUUGGUAAUUUGAUUUGGUAACUUUCUUCCACUAGAUUCACACCCAGUAAAAUAUCCUAAGGGUUCCCAAAUAUUUUGUGAAUAUUCCAAGCUGUGUAACUUACUCAUGCUGUUCCCUUUGCUUGGAAUACCCUUCCUUCAAGGCCUGACUCAC